CUCUGCCUGACUCUUCAUUCUUGCCUCAUGUGACUCAGGGACAGUGGGCUGCCCUCCCAGCUCAUUGCACCCUGCCCAGAAUCUAUGCUUCACAACUGAUAUUUGAUAUAGGUGAAGCAGAAAUCAUCUCAAGGAAAUAGCACUGAACAGUAAUGCCCUAAAACACAGCAUUUGUUGUCUCCAAGCCACUGUUAAGCUAAGCUUUCUGGCCCCCAGAUCUGCACCUGACUUUUGCCACCUCCUCAUCAUCCACUCUGGUCUGCACCCUCUUGACCACGUCUGAGUCUACUUUGGGGCUGGAUGUCUGCUUCAGCAUUAGGAAAUAGACACAUCUACAGAAUCUCUCAUGGCAACACACCAGAUCUGUUUUGUGGAAAGGAAAGGAGUGACUCUACUGAACAUCUGUAAUACCCAGCUGCACACUGGCAUUUCGGGUUAUGAGAAAAAGCAAUAAAAGAAGACAUCAAUUCUCAAGUGAAUAAUUUCUUCUAUAGAGCCUGCUAAACAACAACAACAGCAAAUGAUGAGGAGUAAAUUUACUUCUUUCUUCUCAAAACAACAAAAAUAUCUUCAUUAGAAACAAAGCUCACGUUUUCAUACAAAUCUUUAUAUUCAAUAUGCUACGUUUUCAGGAGAAACAAACAGAAAAAUAAGGAUUUACCUAGAAUGUGUUAUGUAAUGUUCUACAAAAGCCUCACAGGGUAGUAUCAUAAUGGUGAUUUUGUUGCAGUCUGUAUUUUUUUGGAAAGUUCUUUGCCCAGAAAAUCAAUUGUGUAGUUCCUCAGAUGUGAUCAGGCUCAGGGAUACUAACUUACUCUAAAUUAAAUUAAUGAGAGACUAGAAUGUAAAACAGAAUACCAAUUUAUUCAUUUACAAUAAGAAUUAUGACUUUAUUCUGACCAGAAGGCACUCAUUGCCAUGAUGAAGAUAUGCUUUUUCUAAGGCAGAACUACAUGGAAACUAAAAUACAAUAUUAUUCAAGGAAUCAAUACCAGGAAUUUGGAUCAUCCUAGGCAGCUUCUCAGCUGAGGCCAUUCUUCUCCCAGAAAGACACAGCCUUCCUAAACAAUAUUACCCCUGGUUUUCGGUCAAAAUAUUCUGUCUCCUACCUGAUGCUGUGCAUAGUGACAAUUAUUGUUCUGUUCAUUUUUUCCAGGUCCCUAUGAUGAAAAAUAAAUCCCUCUUCAAAUAUAUUUAUAAAAUUUGUUUGAUCACAGUGUGGUCCAAACCAGUAGUCACUAUAUGUGACUUUCCAUGUCUUUGCUUUCAUCCAGUAAGUGUUGAAUCAUUUUCUACUCACAAAAUCUACAUGAUUCCAUUUCCAAAUCCUUUAAAUAGAGGUGUUCGGAGGAGCAUCUUAUACUACCUGUAGAUACAUCC